GGGGAUAUAACUUAGUGGUGGAGUACUUGCCCAGCAUGUACAAGAUCCUGGGUACAAUCCCCAGCAUUGCCA
rfam:Ictidomys tridecemlineatus contig030951, whole genome shotgun sequence.